rnacentral:lncRNA from 1 species
UAUAUAUACUUCAUUUAGUGUUUUUUCAAUAUUUGGUUUUGCAAGAAUAUAUAUAAGCGAUUUAAAUCCUAAUGUACUAAUUUUUAUUUGAAAAAAUUUGUUUAGGCAUUUUGGGAGAUUUUCGCUGAAUUUUGUACUCCAGUUCUUCAUGCUGGCAGCAUCGCUGGACCGUACGAGUGUGUGUGUGCGUUUUGUGUUCCAAAGAAAUUCUGUGUGUGAAAAUUUGGCGAAGAAAAAUUGGGAAUUAGAUGAAAUUAUCGCAUAGAAAAACUGGAAAAUGUGUAGAAAACUAUAUUAGAAACGGUUUAAAUAUGAAUUUGUUGAAAUGUUGUGCGAAACGGUGUUAUGAAAUGUCAAAAAUAUUAAGUGAAUGAGUCGUUUGAUUCUGCCUACGAUUGUCAGGGGCACUCGUUCAUUUUCCUUUCGAAAAAAGUCAUGUGACUUGUCAGUAGUAAUUCGAAACGUCCAAAAGAAUUGUAAUCGCCUGAAAUUGUAUAUUAUUUUAGAAGACGAUUUUCAAUGAAAAGGGGUAGGGGAAUAUAGUUAGAAGUGAAUGUUCAUGCAAAGGAAAGCAAAAGUGGUGGAAGCAUAGAAAAAAAGUUGGUGGAAAAAAAGAACUGGUUGCGGAGCGAAGAAAACAAAAGGCGAAGAACGAGUGGCAACAGUAUAACAACAAUAACAACUGCCAGAACGUAAACAAGAACAAAGUUAUGAUUAAGGCGAAUUAAAGUGUUGGAUGACAAUUGAUAGCAAGAAAGUGGGUAAAAAAGAAACGAAGGAAACAUCACACGAAUAAGGAGUUGUAAAAGAAUUUAAAAAGACGAGCAGCUGGUUGCUCAGCCAACAAUGCUGCUGCUGCUGCGCUGCUUUAACUGUGCAUAAUUUUAUUUGUGUUGUGUAGUUGCGCUGCCUUGCGUCAUCGUUGACGUUGACGUCCAAACGUUGUCGAACUCAUCCGUGUACGAUUGGUUUGUAUUGUACUGUAGCGCUUAUUCGUAGCAUGCAAUCCCGUUUGGUCGCUUCUUGAUUUGUUUUGCGGUAGUGUUCGUUCGUCUUAUUGUCGUCGCAAUGUUCCGUGUUUCUCAUGUUUUGGUAGGGGGGCAUAUGAGAAAAAAAAUUAUUAAAUAAAAAGUAAAUCAAAUAUCCCCAACAUUCGUGAAAGGCCGCGCAGACAUCGAGGACGUGUUUGUAUUCAUCAACAACGGACUCGUUUAUGUAGCACAUCACAUAAGUCUUGAAACUUUAGUGUAGACCACUAAAUGGACAAAAUUUAAUUGUCGUGAUCGUCAUCGUCGUCGAAAUCGUACGGGAAUAUCAGUUGACAAUUAAUUUAACAAAAAAAAAAAAAUACGGGUUGAACACAGUAAACUGACUUGUAAUAUAAUUAAUAUAUAUUUAACUGUACAUAUAUACAUAUAUUCAUAAACAGUAACAUAUACAUAAGUGAAGUUAAUUAAAAACAUACAUAAAUUUAACUGCUAGUGGAUUAAUUUAGACACAUACGCACACACACACACACUGAGACUCAGAAAUUCUAUGAACUCUUCAUACGAAAAGGUUAAAUCAUCCGUCGCGUCGCGAGUG